rnacentral:rRNA from 1 species
UACAGAGGUCUCAAGCGUUGUUCGGAUUCAUUGGGCGUAAAGGGUGCGUAGGCGGCGCGGUAAGUCGGGUGUGAAAUCUCGGAGCUUAACUCCGAAACUGCAUUCGAUACUGCCGUGCUUGAGGACUGGAGAGGAGACUGGAAUUUACGGUGUAGCGGUGAAAUGCGUAGAUAUCGUAAGGAAGACCAGUGGCGAAGGCGGGUCUCUGGACAGUUCCUGACGCUGAGACGCGAAAGCUAGGGGAGCGAACAGG